UACGUAGGGUGCAAGCGUUAUCCGGAAUUAUUGGGCGUAAAGAGCUCGUAGGCGGUUUGUCACGUCUGCUGUGAAAACUGGAGGCUCAACCUCCAGCCUGCAGUGGGUACGGGCAGAUUAGAGUGCGGUAGGGGAGAUUGGAAUUCCUGGUGUAGCGGUGGAAUGCGCAGAUAUCAGGAGGAACACCGAUGGCGAAGGCAGAUCUCUGGGCCGUAACUGACGCUGAGGAGCGAAAGCGUGGGGAGCGAACAGG
rnacentral:rRNA from 1 species